rnacentral:lncRNA from 1 species
GAAAGACAAGUGAAAACAGAUUUAUUUAUGUUAUAACCGACCAUUAUAACACUAAAAAAUGCAAUAUCAUGACCAUUAUCUUUUUCUCCUGUUAUUGCAUAAAAUCAAUAUCAUAAUGGUUAUAGUACUGUUAUUUAAAACCUAAUCAUAAUGGUUAUAAUACUGUUAUUUAAAACCUAGUGUGCAUCCAGCAUCAUGUUGAUGUCAAUGGGAAUUGUUGAUGAUAAAAGGUCUUUCACUACAUAUCAUCCAAUACUGGUAAAGAAGCUUUAAGGUAGAAGACUCACAAAUAUACAAGAAAUCCUGUAGAAAUCAGUUAUCAUGCCCGUCUCUUAUAAGGAUUAAAAACGAGAAAUUAACGAGGUCUUUAUAUUGAUGUUAGGAAGGAAAAGAAGGGAAGCAAUGGGGUGCAGGAUUUUCUAACACUCGCUUUGCAAAUCUACACCAACGCCUAAGUAUCCCUAAAGGACCAAAAAAUGCAACCAAAU